UACGUAGGUGGCAAGCGUUGUCCGGAAUUAUUGGGCGUAAAGCGCGCGCAGGCGGUCCUUUAAGUCUGAUGUGAAAGCCCACGGCUCAACCGUGGAGGGUCAUUGGAAACUGGGGGACUUGAGUACAGAAGAGAAGAGUGGAAUUCCACGUGUAGCGGUGAAAUGCGCAGAUAUCGGGAAGAACACCCGUGGCGAAGGCGGUUCUCUGGGACGGUACUGACGCUGAGACGCGAAAGCGUGGGGAGCGAACAGG
rnacentral:rRNA from 1 species